UCUAUCUGUAGCUCAGUUGGUUAGAGCGCUGCAUCGGAAUCGCAGGCCGCAGCUUCAACUCCUGCCAGAUGAC